rnacentral:rRNA from 1 species
GAUGAACGCUGGCGGCGUGCCUAAUACAUGCAAGUCGAGCGAACUGACGAGAAGCUUGCUUCUCUGAUGUUAGCGGCGGACGGGUGAGUAACACGUGGAUAACCUACCUAUAAGACUGGGAUAACUUCGGGAAACCGGAGCUAAUACCGGAUAAUAUUUUGAACCGCAUGGUUCAAAAGUGAAAGACGGUCUUGCCGUCACUUAUAGAUGGAUCCGCGCUGCAUUAGCUAGUUGGUAAGGUAACGGCUUACCAAGGCAACGAUGCAUAGCCGACCUGAGAGGAUGAUCGGCCACACUGGAACUGAGACACGGUCCAGACUCCUACGGGAGGCAGCAGUAGGGAAUCUUCCACAAUGGGCGAAAGCCUGACGGAGCAACGCCGCGUGAGUGAUGAAGGUCUUCGGAUCGUAAAACUCUGUUAUUAGGGAAGAACAUAUGUGUAAGUAACUGUGCACAUCUUGACGGUACCUAAUCAGAAAGCCACGGCUAACUACGUG